UACAGAGGCCCCAAGCGUUACUGAGAAUCACUGGGUUUAAAGGGUGCGUAGGUGGCGCGUUAAGUCCGUUGUGAAAGCCCUGGGCUCAACCCAGGAACUGCUUCGGAUACUGGCGCGCUUGAGGCUAGUAGGGGUCACUGGAACUGACGGUGGAGCGGUGAAAUGCGUUGAUAUCGUCAGGAACGCCAAUGGUGAAGACAGGUGACUGGGCUAGUUCUGACACUGAGGCACGAAAGCGUGGGGAGCGAACGGG
rnacentral:rRNA from 1 species